rnacentral:rRNA from 1 species
UAGGGAAUAUUGGGCAAUGGAGGAGACUCUGACCCAGCCAUGCCGCGUGCAGGAUGAAGGCUUUCUGAGUCGUAAACUGCUUUUGCCAGGGAAGAACCACCGGUUUGCGAACCGGCCUGACGGUACCUGGUGAAUAAGCACCGGCUAACUCCGUGCCAGCAGCCGCGGUAAUACGGAGGGUGCGAGCGUUGUCCGGAUUUAUUGGGUUUAAAGGGUGCGUAGGCGGCCCGUUAAGUCUGGGGUGAAAGCCCACUGCUCAACAGUGGAACGGCCCUGGAUACUGGCGGGCUUGAAUCCAGUCGAGGGUGGCGGAAUGGAGGCUGUAGCGGUGAAAUGCAUAGAUAGCCUCCAGAACACCGAUUGCGAAGGCAGCUGCCUAGACUGGUAUUGACGCUCAGGCACGAAAGCGUGGGGAGCGAACA